rnacentral:rRNA from 1 species
GGACGAACGCUGGCGGCGUGCCUAAUACAUGCAAGUAGAACGCUGAAGGAGGAGCUUGCUUCUCUGGAUGAGUUGCGAACGGGUGAGUAACGCGUAGGUAACCUGCCUGGUAGCGGGGGAUAACUAUUGGAAACGAUAGCUAAUACCGCAUAAUAUUGACUAUUGCAUGAUAGUCAGUUGAAAGGUGCAACUGCACCACUACCAGAUGGACCUGCGUUGUAUUAGCUAGUUGGUGGGGUAACGGCUCACCAAGGCGACGAUACAUAGCCGACCUGAGAGGGUGAUCGGCCACACUGGGACUGAGACACGGCCCAGACUCCUACGGGAGGCAGCAGUAGGGAAUCUUCGGCAAUGGACGGAAGUCUGACCGAGCAACGCCGCGUGAGUGAAGAAGGUUUUCGGAUCGUAAAGCUCUGUUGUAAGAGAAGAACGAGUGUGAGAGUGGAAAGCUCACACUGUGACGGUAUCUUACCAGAAAGGGACGGCUAACUACGUG